UAUCUGCUGGUACAGUCUGCU
rnacentral:miRNA from 1 species